UCUCUUCCUUUAAACUCCAGAUUUUCAUAUUAGUCCUAAUUAAGCUGUUGUUAUGUAUAUUAAUUUGUUUGUUGUUAUCUGAAGAUUCAGAACCAAUGGAUUGAGGUUAAUUACUUAAUAGUAUAUAUCGUUUAGUUCAGGAAUAAACAAAAAGUGCUAUUCUAGAAAUAGAUAUAAAUUAAUAUAUAAGCGGGGAUUAGAUCAAUUUUGCGUUUGGAUAAAAAUUGGAUUAUUAAAAAACAUAGCGUUUGGUUAAGUAAGAUGGAUGAAAAUUGGAUUAUUAAAAAACGUAGCGUUUGAUUAGGUAAGAUGGAAUAAGAAAAAUAGUGAAUUUUUAUAAAUAAAAAGUAAUCAUAUUAUUCUCUUAUUAUAUUUGAAUUUAA
rnacentral:lncRNA from 1 species